rnacentral:rRNA from 1 species
UUGCUAUGAGCUGUUUUAGCGGCGGACGGGUGAGUAACGCGUGAGCAACCUUUCCCAGACAGGGGAAUAACACACCGAAAGGUGUACUAAUACCGCAUAUACCCAAGUGUCACAUGGCACAAUGGGGAAAGGAGCAAUCCGCUCUGUGAUGAGCUCGCGUCUGAUUAGGUAGUUGGUGAGGUAACGGCCCACCAAGCCUACGAUCAGUAGCCGAACUGAGAGGUUGAUCGGCCACACUGGUACUGAGACACGGACCAGACUCC